rnacentral:SRP_RNA from 1 species
UGGCUAGGCCGGGGGGUUGGGCGUCCCCUGUAACCCGAAAUCGCCCUUAUGCGGGGGCCGAAAACUUGGGGGCGGCAUGCUCUCCAGCCCUUCCUUCCUAGACUCCUCGAUGAAGUCUCGUCCCGUGGGGCUCGGCGGUGGGGGAGCAUCUCCUGUAGGGGAGAUGUAACCCCCUUUGCCUGCCGAACCCCGCCAGGCCCGGAAGGGAGCAACGGUAGGCAGGACGUCGGCGCUCACGGGGUAGCGGGGCUGAGAAGGAGUCUGGGGGCGAGGAAGGGCUGGAGGGCAUGCCCACCCCAAGGAAGCCA